AUUGAACGCUGGCGGCAGGCUUAACACAUGCAAGUCGAGCGGAGUGAUGGUGCUUGCACUAUCACUUAGCGGCGGACGGGUGAGUAAUGCUUAGGAAUCUGCCAUUUAGUGGGGGACAACAUUCCGAAAGGAAUGCUAAUACCGCAUACGUCCUACGGGAGAAAGCAGGGGACCUUCGGACCUUGCGCUAAAUGAUGAGCCUAAGUCGGAUUAGCUAGUUGGUGGGGUAAAGGCCUACCAAGGCGACGAUCUGUAGCGGGUCUGAGAGGAUGAUCCGCCACACUGGGACUGGGGCACGGCCCAGACUCCUACGGGAGGCAGCAGUGGGGAAUAUUGGACAAUGGGCGGAAGCCUGAUCCAGCCAUGCCGCGUGUGUGAAGAAGGCCUUUUGGUUGUAAAGCACUUUAAGCGAGGAGGAGGCUACUAGUACUAAUACUACUGGAUAGUGGACGUUACUCGCAGAAUAAGCACCGGCUAACUCUGUGCCAGCCGCCGCCGUAAUAC
rnacentral:rRNA from 1 species